UGGGGAAUUUUGGACAAUGGGCGAAAGCCUGAUGCAGCCAUGCCGCGUGUGUGAAGAAGGCCUUCGGGUUGUAAAGCACUUUCAGCGAGGAGGAAGGUGGUGGACUUAAUACGUUCAUCAAUUGACGUUACUCGCAGAAGAAGCACCGGCUAACUCCGUGCCAGCAGCCGCGGUAAUACGGAGGGUGCAAGCGUUAAUCGGAAUUACUGGGCGUAAAAGCGCACGCAGGCGGUUUGUUAAGUCAGAUGUGAAAUCCCCGGGCUCAACCUGGGAACUGCAUUUGAAACUGGCAAGCUAGAGUCUCGUAGAGGGGGGUAGAAUUCCAGGCGUAGCGGUGAGAUGCGUAGAGAUCUGGAGGAAUACCGGUGGCGAAGGCGGCCCCCUGGACGAAGACUGACGCUCAGGUGCGAAAGCGUGGGGAGCAAAACAGGAUUAGAUACCCUGGUAGUCCACGCUGUAAAACGAUGUCGAUUUUGGAGGUUGUGCCCUUGAGGCGUGGCUUCCGGAGCUAACGCGUUAAAUCGACCGCCUGGGGAGUACGGCCGCAAGGUUAAAACUCAAAUGAAUUGACGGGGGUCAUAGCUGUUUCCUG
rnacentral:rRNA from 1 species